AGUUAACUUCACUUCCAAAUGGGCACAAGGCAAUUGGCGUGAAGUGGGUGUAUAAAGCAAAGAAAAACUCUAAAGGAGAAGUGGAAAGAUACAAAGCAAGAUUAGUUGCAAAAGGUUAUAGUCAAAGAACCGAAUCAACUAUGACAACGUUAGACUAAUCAAUGGAUGUAAUGGUUAGACUAA
rnacentral:sRNA from 1 species